rnacentral:tRNA from 1 species
GGUCGGAAGUUCAAGUCUUCCCAGGCCCACCACACUCAUCGAGUGAGCAUUCGUCUUCUGGUUACGGGGCCAUAGCUCAGCUGGGAGAGCGCGUGCUUUGCAAGCAUGAGGUCGUCGGUUCGAUCCCGUCUGGCUCCACCAGAUGGUUUGAUCAUCGAUCGAUCGUGCAUCGAAAAUCGUCCGCGAAACAUCACUUCGCAUCCUGCUAGUCUGGAUAGACAGCAGAUUGCGUGAUUUCUGACAUCGUAAAGAGGAGAUCGAUCCGAGUUGGAUCGUGCAGCAAGCAAUUGCUACGCGAUACUUCAUUAUCUCCGGAUCAUUUCGGCGCUCGUGCGUCUUUUCAGGGCAGCUCACAAGGCUGCGUUUGAGAGACAAGCGAGUUGUAAAUGAUCCUUUUAGCGAAGCUUGACCGCCUCGCUAUCGGAACGAUCUUACGAAGCAAGCUGGUCUUUCUAAUCAUUGUCCGGCUGCAGAUAGCGUUCAUCGAGGGCGCGUGCCGCAAGGUAGUUCUGCAGACAACAUUCUGCCGAGUGUGUGGACAUUGAUAAUGAGAGC